rnacentral:tRNA from 1 species
UAGUAGGUGGUGUAAUGGAAACACGAAGGGUUUUGAUCUCUUAUUUGCAGGUUCGAAUCCUGUCUUUCUAA